rnacentral:rRNA from 1 species
AGAGUUUGAUCAUGGCUCAGAGCGAACGCUGGCGGCAGGCUUAACACAUGCAAGUCGAGCGCCGUAGCAAUACGGAGCGGCAGACGGGUGAGUAACACGUGGGAACGUACCUUUUGGUUCGGAACAACUGAGGGAAACUCCAGCUAAUACCGGAUAAGCCCUUACGGGGAAAGAUUUAUCGCCGAAAGAUCGGCCCGCGUCUGAUUAGCUAGUUGGUGAGGUAAUGGCUCACCAAGGCGACGAUCAGUAGCUGGUCUGAGAGGAUGAUCAGCCACACUGGGACUGAGACACGGCCCAGACUCCUACGGGAGGCAGCAGUGGGGAAUAUUGGACAAUGGGCGCAAGCCUGAUCCAGCCAUGCCGCGUGAGUGAUGAAGGCCCUAGGGUUGUAAAGCUCUUUUGUGCGGGAAGAUAAUGACUGUACCGCAAGAAUAAGCCCCGGCUAACUUCGUGCUAGCAGCCGCGGUAAUUC